AUGAAGUCCCAAAAUUUGUCCACUGUUACUGAGUUUCAGCUGCUGGGAUUCCAGAACCUUCUUGAGUGGCAGACCUUGCUUUUUAUCAUUUUCUUGUUCAUCUACUUCCUCACAGUGACAGGGAAUAUUGUCAUUAUUGUAGUGGUGAGCCAGAACCAGCAGUUGCACUCACCUAUGUACACAUUCCUCAAACAUCUCUCCUUUUUGGAGAUCUGGUAUACAUCCACCAUUGUGCCCCUUCUCCUAGCCACUCUGGUCUCCCAGGGCCAAGCCAUCUCCUUCCAUGCCUGUAUAGCACAGCUGUACUUCUUUGUGUUCUUCGGGGCUACUGAGUGCUUUCUUCUGGCUGUGAUGGCCUAUGACCGAUAUCUGGCGAUCUGUAGUCCACUGCACUACUCUUUCCUGAUGAGUCCUGAGGUCUGCACCAAGUUGGUGGCUAUCUCCUGGUUGACAGGAGUUGGCACAGGAUUUCUGCCCUCUCUAAUGAUUUCCAGGUUGGACUUUUGUGGGCCCAACCAGAUCAAUCAUUUUUUCUGUGACCUCCCUCCCCUCAUGCAGCUCUCGUGUUCCAGUGUUUAUGUCACUGAGAUGGUCAUCUUUAUCCUGUCAAUUGCUGUGCUGUGCCUUUGUUUUAUUCUUACACUGGUGUCCUAUGUUUUUAUUGUGUCAUCAAUACUGAGAAUUCCUUCAGCCUCUGGCCGAAUGAAAACCUUUUCCACAUGUGGCUCCCAUUUAGCUGUUGUGACUAUCUACUAUGGAACCAUGAUCUCCAUGUAUGUUCGCCCCAGUGCCCACCCGUCACCAGAUAUCAACAAGAUUAUUUCUGUCUUCUAUACUGUGGUCACCCCACUGUUGAACCCUGUCAUCUACAGCUUGAGGAACAAAGACUUUAAAGAUGCUCUUAGGAAAAGUCAUGAGAAGAAAUUGUGGCAUCUAUGGGGUAAGAAUGAAGGAAAAUCUCUUUAUCAGAUAAAGAAAAUCAACAUAGAAUACACAGUGAAGGAAAGUUCGAGAAAAGUGAACGGCAGGUUCAGAACCUUGAAACAUGAUUGCCAUCCAUUUCAUUACAUUAAAUUCCGCAAGUUAAUUGGAAGGCAUCACCAACUCAAUGGACAUGAGUUUGAGCAGGCUUCAGGAGUUGAUGAUGGGCAGGGAAACCUGGUGUGCUGCAGUCCAUGGGGUCACAAAGAGUUAGACAUGACUGAGUGA
rnacentral:lncRNA from 1 species